AUUGAACGCUGGCGGCGUGCCUAACACAUGCAAGUCGAGCGGUAACAGGUGUAGCAAUACAUGCUGACGAGCGGCGAACGGGUGAGUAAUGCUUCGGAAUCUGCCCAUGUAGUGGGGAAUAACCAGCCGAAAGGUUGGCUAAUACCGCAUACGACCCUUGCCCACAAGGCAAAGGUGAAAGCAGGGGAUCGCAAGACCUUGCGCUAUUGGAUGAGCCGAAGUCGGAUUAGCUAGUUGGUAGGGUAACGGCCUACCAAGGCGACGAUCCGUAGCUGGUCUGAGAGGACGACCAGCCACACUGGGACUGAGACACGGCCCAGACUCCUACGGGAGGCAGCAGUGGGGAAUAUUGGACAA
rnacentral:rRNA from 1 species